rnacentral:lncRNA from 1 species
CCGGACUGGACAGAGCGGUGAGACGCCCCCCGGAAACCCUAGCCAGUUUUAGAAAGUGGACGUGAUACCUAAGCCUGCUUCUGGACAUGCUGUCAAAGUGGAGCUUUCGCUGAGAGUUUGACUUAUGCAGAAACUAUGGUUCGACUGACAGUGGAUUUAAUUGCCAAAAACAGCAAUCUUAAACCCAGAAAAGAAGAAACCCUUGUACAAUGCCUGAAGAAAAUAACACACAUAAAUUUUUCAGACAGAAAUAUAGAUUCGAUUGAUGACCUCUCUCUUUGUAAAAACCUGAGCGUUUUAUAUUUGUAUGAUAAUCGCAUUAGUCAAGUCACUAACCUGAAUUACACCACAAAUCUGACCCACUUGUACCUACAGAACAAUUGCAUUUCCUGCAUCGAAAACCUCAGUUCACUAAAGAAAUUGGAAAAACUGUAUCUGGGAGGCAAUUACAUUGCAGUCGUCGAAGGCUUGGAAGGAUUAGAGGAGCUGAGAGAGCUUCAUGUUGAAAGUCAGAGGCUCCCCCUGGGAGAAAAGCUCCUGUUUGACCCAAGGACUCUUCGUUCUCUAGCAGUAAGACUCGACUACAGGACUUGGAAGUUUUACUGAGAAAACUGAUGAAGUUGUGGAAAAUGGAUUUAAAUGGAAAUCCUGUUUGUCUUAAACCAAAAUACAGGGACAGGCUGAUACUGAUGUCCAAGUCACUGGAGUUUCUUGAUGGAAAAGAAAUAAAAAACCUGGAAAGACAAUUCCUAAUGAAUUGGAAAGCAUCCAAAGAGGCCAAGAAAAUCAGCAAGAAAAGGAGGAACAGAAGUGAGGAUCAAAACAACUCCUACAUAAGUAACUUUGAAACAAUACAUCACAUAGUUCCUGUUUAUUACCCACAGGUGGGUAAGCCAAAAGUAGUCUUUUUCUCUGAUGUACAGAGAUAUCUUGGAAAGGCAUCUUCAAAGUUUUCUCAAGAAGAUAAAACUACAAUUACUGAAGAUAUAGGGAAUCUAUCCUUGAAGGAAUCUGAAAGCUUGCUAACAAAAACCGAUAUCCAUGAACCUCACCUUCUCCAAAACCCAAAAGUAAAGGAAAAUUUGUCUGAGAAUAAGGAGUAAAUUCUGCCUCCAGUGAUUUGAUUUCUUCAUAGAACGAGGCAACAGCGUGUUUUGAGGGUUUAUAGACUUCGUUUAUCUUGGUGUGUAUGUUGUUUUUUUCUUUAUAGAAUCUGAGACUUUGCUUUAUGUGUGUGAAUUCUGGGAUCUAUUUACUCUAUUAGCUGUUAAAUAAAAUUUACCAGG